rnacentral:rRNA from 1 species
GUUCGGAUUGUAGUCUGCAACCCGACUACAUGAAGCUGGAAUCGCUAGUAAUCGCAGAUCAGAAUGCUGCGGUGAAUACGUUCCCGGGUCUUGUACACACCGCCCGUCACACCAUGGGAGUUGGAAAUGCCCGAAGUCGGUGACCUAACCGAAAGGGAGGAGCCGCCGAAGGCAGGUCUGAUAACUGGGGUGAAGUCGUAACAAGGUAUC